UACGUAGGUGGCAAGCGUUGUCCGGAAUUACUGGGUGUAAAGGGGGCGCAGGCGGGUGAACAAGUCAGCGGUGAAAUACAUGGGCUUAACUCAUGGGCUGCCGUUGAAACUGUACAUCUUGAGUGGAUCAGAGGCAAGCGGAAUUCCGAGUGUAGCGGUGAAAUGCGUAGAUAUUCGGAGGAACACCAGUGGCGAAGGCGGCUUGCUGGGGUCUAACUGACGCUGAGGCCCGAAAGUGUGGGGAG
rnacentral:rRNA from 1 species